rnacentral:rRNA from 1 species
UACGACCACAUAACGUUGAAAUACCGGUUCUCGCACGAUCACCGAAGUUAAGCAACGUCGAGACUGGUCAGUACCUAGAUGGGUGACCACUUGCGAAUACCAGGUGCUGUAAG